rnacentral:rRNA from 1 species
AUUGAACGCUGGCGGCAUGCCUUACACAUGCAAGUCGAACGGCAGCACGGGAGCAAUCCUGGUGGCGAGUGGCGAACGGGUGAGUAAUGUAUCGGAACGUACCUUUCAGUGGGGGAGUAACGUAGCGAAAGUUACGCUAAUACCGCAUAUUCUGUGAGCAGGAAAGACAGGGGAGUCGCAAGACCUUGCGCUGAUUGAGCGGCCGAUAUCAGAUUAGCUAGUUGGUGAGGUAAAGGCUCACCAAGGCGACGAUCUGUAGCGGGUCUGAGAGGAUGAUCCGCCACACUGGAACUGAGACACGGUCCAGACUCCUACGGGAGGCAGCAGUGGGGAAGUUUUGGACAAUGGGCGGCAAGCCUGAUCCAGCCAUGCCGCGUGAGUGAAG